rnacentral:rRNA from 1 species
GAUUAAGUUAUUAAGGGCGCACGGUGGAUGCCUUGGCACUAGAAGCCGACGAAGGACGUUACUAACGACGAUAUGCUUUGGGGAGCUGUAAGUAAGCUUUGAUCC